rnacentral:sRNA from 1 species
UCUCUGAUUGUGUGGCCUGUGUGUUUUC